UGGGGAAUAUUGCACAAUGGGCGCAAGCCUGAUGCAGCCAUGCCGCGUGUGUGAAGAAGGCCUUCGGGUUGUAAAGCACUUUCAGCGAGGAGGGAGGUGGUGAACUUAAUACGUUCAUCAAUUGACGUUACUCGCAGAAGAAGCACCGGCUAACUCCGUGCCAGCAGCCGCGGUAAUACGGAGGGUGCAAGCGUUAAUCGGAAUUACUGGGCGUAAAGCGCACGCAGGCGGUUUGUUAAGUCAGAUGUGAAAUCCCCGGGCUCAACCUGGGAACUGCAUUUGAAACUGGCAAGCUAGAGUCUCGUAGAGGGGGGUAGAAUUCCAGGUGUAGCGGUGAAAUGCGUAGAGAUCUGGAGGAAUACCGGCGGCGAAGGCGGCCCCCUGGACGAAGACUGACGCUCAGGUGCGAAAGCGCGGGGAGCAAACAGGAUUAGAUACCCUGGUAGUCCACGCUGUAAACGAUGUCGAUUUGGAGGUUGUGCCCUUGAGGCGUGGCUUCCGGAGCUAACGCGUUAAAUCGACCGCCUGGGGAGUACGGCC
rnacentral:rRNA from 1 species